UGCGCAGGCGGCCAAGUGUGUGAGGCGUGAAAGCCUGGAGCUCAACUCCAGAAUUGCACCUCAAACUACAUGGCUAGAGCAUUGGAGAGGGUAGCAGAAUUCACGGUGUAGCAGUGAAAUGCGUAGAUAUCGUGAGGAAUACCAGAGGCGGAGGCGGCUACCUGGACAAUUGCUGACGCUCAGGCACGAAAGCGUGGGGAGCAAAAGGGAUUAGAUACCCCUGUAGUCCACGCCCUAAACGGUGCACACUAGGUCUUGGAGGAUUCGACCCCUUCAGGGCCCAAGCUAACGCGUUAAGUGUGCCGCCUGAGGACUACGGCCGCAAGGCUAAA
rnacentral:rRNA from 1 species